AUUGAACGCUGGCGGCAUGCCUAACACAUGCAAGUCGAACGGCAGCGCGGGUAGCUUGCUACCUGGCGGCGGGUGGCGGACGGGUGAGUAAUAUGUAGGAAUCUGCCUAGAGGAGGGGGAUAACUUAGGGAAACUUAAGCUAAUACCACAUAAGCCCUACGGGGGAAAGCAGGGGAUCGAAAGACCUUGCGCCUUAUGAUGAGCCUACAUCGGAUUAGCUUGUUGGUGGGGUAAAGGCCUACCAAGGCGAUGAUCCGUAGCUGGUCUGAGAGGAUGACCAGCCACACUGGGACUGAGACACGGCCCAGACUCCUACGGGAGGCAGCAGUGGGGAAUAUUGGACAAUGGGGGAAACCCUGAUCCAGCAAUGCCGCGUGUGUGAAGAAGGCCUUCGGGUUGUAAAGCACUUUCAGUGGGGAGGAAGGGGUAGUUGAUAAUACCAAUUAUCAUUGACGUUACCCACAGAAGAAGCACCGGCUAACUCUGUGCCAGCCGCCGCAGUAAGAC
rnacentral:rRNA from 1 species